AGUUUCCAAAUAGGAUCUGGUUAAAAAAAAAAAAAGAUUAUGACGACACAGACAAAACCCCUUCCACUCAAUCUUCCCAACCUCCCAUACUAUUCAUUUACUCUCUCUCAUCUCAUCCAGCCGAACCAUCUUCCACCUCCGAUGGUGAAGAAAAGGAGUAAUUGGCAUCUUAAUGGGUCAGAUCCUUUCCUUAGUGGCAUCGACAAACCUCACCCAACCCCAAAGGUGGCGGGGCCGUAUUCAUAAACGCCCUGGUCGACUCGUCAUUGAGGACUCAGAACGGUGCGACGCUACCCGCCUCCUCUGAUUCCAAUCGGUGGUAGUAACCCAUAAUUGAUGAGGAGGAGUGGAAGAAGCGGUUCUUGGGUCGAUGACUCCGUCUUGGGAUCGAAGAGGAAGCUUAAAGCCCCAUGUUUAUCCACUUCUUGUUUGAUUGAAAUCACCAAACUCCAAUUUCAUAAUUAGUUGGUACUUUUUUGUGCAGUUUUGUGAAUUUUUGUGUUGUGUUUCGCUCUCCUUACUUGUAUUCCUCACUCGUUUCAGUUUCAACAAACGCUGAGGAAUAGUUUUGACCACCACAACAAAGUUAAAUUGGUUUCCCCUUGGCUUUA